ensembl:lncRNA
GAACCUAAAACCCUUUCUACCCAUUGACACGACAACACAUAACCAGCGUUUUCAUCUCCACUUUGGCCGGAGUUUUUAGAAAUUAUCGUCUUCUGUGAUAAAAACAGCGUUUUCGUGUAAAUGAGGCCAAACCGCGUGGAAAUAUCUACGUUUUCCCUUCGUGUAAACAGGGCCUUAAUGAGCACCAGAAUGGGGGUGGCUCAAUUAGCCUAUGAGCCACAGCUGCAGACUAUCAGGGCUAACCAGCCAGACAGGAGCACGUGAAUCUUUUAAAACAUGUUGAAUACAGUGAAGAUCCCAUUCACAUCUUCGCAUUACCUUCCCCCUCUGUUAAGCUUGCAAACACAGUUUCAAGCGCACUAGAUAAAAAAGGUGUCCCGUGUAUCCAGGCGCCGGAUAUGCGGGAGAGUGGAGGCAGUAAUAAGGUUGAGGAGCUUGAGUGUGCCUGGCGUAACGAUGGAAUUGGAGGCAGCCGUGUUCUGGAUGCCGGGGAUAUAGGCAGUGUCCUGUGGGCCCAUUCUCUCUCUCUCUCUGAUAGACGCGGUUUGACGGCUGGAUGCAGCGGAUCGCAUUGUCUUCUCUGCAUCCCUGUUGAUUAAUGGAACUGCCUGUCAAUAAAUAUAGUUUAUUGUAAUGAACGUUACCCGACGGUGUCUGUCUCCCUAUGUUCAACGCCUUUGAGCCAAGGCGUUGCCAAAUGCGGGUGUACUUUGUGCAA